rnacentral:rRNA from 1 species
GUGCCAGCCGCCGCGGUAAUACGUAGGUGGCAAGCGUUGUCCGGAUUUAUUGGGCGUAAAGCAUGCGCAGGCGGAUACUUAAGUGAGAUGUGAAAUCCCCCGGCUUAACUGGGGGGCUGCAUUUCAAACUGGAUGUCUAGAGUGCAGGAGAGGAAAGCAGAAUUCCUAGUGUAGCGGUGAAAUGCGUAGAGAUUUGGAAGAAUACCAGUGGCGAAGGCGACUUUCUGGACUGUAACUGACGCUGAGGCAUGAAAGCGUGGGGAGCAAACAGGAUUAGAUACCCUGGUAGUCCACGCCGUAAACGAUGAGUACUAGGUGUAAGGGGUAUCGACUCCUUCUGUGCCGCAGUUAACACAAUAAGUAUUCCGCCUGGGGAGUACGGUCGCAAGAUUAAAACUCAAAUGAAUUGACGG